AAAAUAGUAAAAGCGACAAAAACAAAAGUUCCCCAGUAUGAGCCUACUUUGUUGUUGCGUUUUCUCUUUUUGUGUUCUUUGUUCUUUGUUU
rnacentral:ribozyme from 11 species